rnacentral:lncRNA from 1 species
GAGACCAGACGUAUGAAUAUAAAUAGACAAUAGUUAAAUUAAAACUUAAUAAAUAUGAGUGAAAAAUCCGUAGAAAUAACGACGCUGGACAAUCUAUCGUCCUUCUAUACAUGCUGCAUUAGCGGCUCCCUAUCAUCUUCUGUGGAGACGUUGGCCAUGCACGGGGUGACCCACUCAAAAUCUAACGAAAAUUUUUAAUCCUUUAUGGAUGAAUUUUAUAAAUUAAUGCAGUUUGUUCAUUCACAAACAAAUCCGGAACUAAGCGCCUGGAGGUAGUGCCACAAUUAUCACUCUAACUAAAAUACAAAAGAACUUCAUAUUGUCUUCGAGGACCCAUUAUGGGGGGGCUAUGAGGACAUAAGUGACACUUUUAGAAAGAUAACUCGAUCUCUGUCGAUCUUUUGGAUGAAGCAGAAAACAAGGAAGGAAACUUUUUUCUUCUUUUUUUUUGAGUUUAUGGCCUUCUGAUUAAAGGAGUGGGAGAAUUUUCAUAUUUCCUUCAUGGAACCCUUCACUUCUGUGGAAGGGUAGGUUUUUGACUCGGUGUAAUGUCUGCAAAAGAAUAGAAAAGCUCAUUAAGAACGCUGGAAGCAUCCUUUUAGUCUCUUCCUUUAAAGAGCUCCUUAAAACGUUAAUACUGGAGGAGAAAUCAAAAGACUCGGCUCCAAGCCAUCUUAUAUUUGGUCAUUCAUCAAUCAAGAUACUGUUGAACAAUGCUCGGAAUGACCGAGUUUUGUCUAAUACGAUAUGGAGGUGUUCAGGGUAUCGAAAGAUACCUUUUGGUUAGACAACGGCUAACAUGCCUUCGAACCCUAUCCCUUCCUUAAGGUCAAUACUCCACCUAUGAAUUCUCUGGAAUCUCCAAGAGGUCAUGAAAUACCUCCAAGAAGUCGAGAAGUACACCUCCUAAAGUUAUUCGUCAUUUAGGUCUAUGAUUCAUUCAAAACUAUUGACAUUGGACAUGCCUAAUGAAGAGGGAAGAUGUGACUAAACCUCACUUUAUUUAAAAAGAAAUAAAUUUAAACUCUAUAUAUGUUACAUGCAAUGUUGAAAACGGGCAAUUUGCAAAAUGGCCGUGCAAUGUGUAAAAUGAACGUUAAAGCGGCAAUAUGGAAAAUGAACGGGCGAUCUAUAAAAUUCCCAAUAGAGUGGUCAAUGGUAAUUUUACCUUCAUUUACAUUGUCAGGUGAAAUGGUUGUGGGGAAUUUGAUUAUUAAACAAUUCAUUGCUAAGCAAUUUGUUCAUUCAGAAUUUGAUUAUGAUACAAUUUCAUUACAAGCAA